ensembl:lncRNA
ACAAGGUCCUUCCCUUCAGGCUGUUGCUGUUGCCCCGCGUCUUUACGAAGGUUGCCGUGGCGGCCCUUUUUCCCAUGAGAGAACAGGGUGUUGGCAUUAUCAAAUAUCCUGAUGACUGGCUCAUUCUGGCUCAGUCCUGGGAGCAGUUGUGCAAGCACAGGGACUUGAUGCUCAGUCACCUCAGCCAGUUGGGACUUCGGGUCAACUGGUAAAAGAGCAAACUCUCUCCAGUGCAGAGGAUCUCUUUUCUUGGUAUGGAGUUGGACUCUGUCAAUCUGACGGCAUGCCUCAAAGAGGAACGUGCAUUGGCGCAUCAAUUGCCUCGUUGCUUACAGUACGUCUUUCACUGGACCACUUCAAAACACCGCUACAAGGCAAGCAUGUACUGGUCUGUACGAACAACACUGCGAACAUGGCAUACAUAUGCUCCUGUCGUAUGUCACAACUCGCCCACCAUCUCCUCCUAUGGAGUCAGAAGCAUCUGAGGUCACUUUGUGCCAUUUACAUUCCUGGCCUACUCAGUCGUGCAGCCGACGAGCUUUCACGGCAGCAUGAGCUUCCGGGAGAAUGGAGACUCCAUCCCCGGGCUAUCAAGCUGAUAUGGAGACACUUUGGAGCCGCACAGGUAGACCUGUGUGCCUAUCCAGACACGUCCCAUUGCCAGCUGUUCUAUUUCCUGACUGGGGGAGACCCUCGGCAUGGAUGCACUGGUGGACAGCUGGCCCCAGGGCCUACGCAAGUAUGCGUAUCCCCCAGUGAGCCUACUUGUACAGCCACUGCGCAAAGUCAGGAAGGACGAGGAGUAGGGUUGGGUACCGUUCACAUUUUAACCAGUACAGGACCAGUAUCGUAUCUAAAUUUUGGUGCCAGUACCCAACGGUACCUUUUUCUGGUACUUUACUCUCUGUGUAAUUACAAAAAAAAUAGAAAAACUAGUCCAAAAUUCUCAAUUUCAACAUUUUGAACAAUAGGGCCAUACAAACUUUUUCUUUCUUUCUUUCCCCCAG